rnacentral:rRNA from 1 species
CCUACGGGGCGCAGCAGUGGGGAAUAUUGCGCAAUGGGGGAAACCCUGACGCAGCAACGCCGCGUGCGGGAUGAAGGCUUUCGGGAUGUAAACCGCUUUCAGCAGGGAAGAUAGUGACGGUACCUGCAGAAGAAGCCCCGGCUAAAUACGUGCCAGCAGCCGCGGUAAUGCGUAUGGGGCAAGCGUUAUCCGGAUUCAUUGGGCGUAAAGCGCGCGCAGGCGGCCUGCUAAGCCUGACCUCUAAUACCGGGGCUCAACCCCGGGCCGGCAU